rnacentral:rRNA from 1 species
CCUACGGGAGGCAGCAGUGGGGAAUAUUGCGCAAUGGGCGAAAGCCUGACGCAGCGACGCCGCGUGAGGGAUGAAGGUUUUCGGAUUGUAAACCUCUGUCAGCAGGGAAGAACGGUCACUGUGCUAAUCAGCAGUGAAUUGACGGUACCUGCAAAGGAAGCGCCGGCUAACUACGUGCCAGCAGCCGCGGUAAUACUGAGGGUGCGAGCGUUAAUCGGAAUUACUGGGCGUAAGGCGUUCGUAGGCGGUAUGUCAAGUCAAGGGUGAAAGCCCCGGGCUCAACGUGGGAACUGCCUUUGAAACUGGCAGACUGGAGUGUGUGAGAGGAUAGUGGAAUUCCAGGUGUAGGAGUGAAAUGCGUAGAUAUCUGGAGGAACAUCAGUGGCGAAGGCGGCUAUCUGGCAAAUAACUGACGCUGAGGAGCGAAAGCGUGGGUAGCAAACAGGAUUAGAUACCCGAGUAGUC